UACAGAGGGUGCGAACGUUGCUCGGAAUUACUGGGCGUAAAGCGCGUGUAGGCGGAUUCAUAAGCCAGAUGUGAAAUCCCCAGGCUCAACCUGGGAACUGCAUCUGGAACUGCGAGUCUUGAGUGCCGGAGAGGGUGGCAGAAUUCCUGGUGUAGAGGUGAAAUUCGUAGAUAUCAGGAGGAACACCGGUGGCGAAGGCGGCCACCUGGACGGCAACUGACGCUGAGACGCGAAAGCGUGGGGAGCAAACAGG
rnacentral:rRNA from 1 species